UUCAUUGAUGACGAUGAGAUGGCCCACUAUAUACUUACUGAUGUUGAUUACGAUUACAAUCCUUUCAUAUCAUCUAUCAUGGGCCGUGUUGGGUCAAUUUUCUUGAGUGAGCUGUACACCCAGUUGUUGUCCUAUGAUC
rnacentral:snoRNA from 1 species